CUGCGUUGAUAACAUGAAGCGAUCUAAUAAACCCUUCGGUGCACAGGGACGAAAACGGAGUAAGGAUGAAGAGAAAAAGAAAGAACAGUAUAGAGAUGCACUCAGCCAAUAUUUGCAGAGGCCGGCACCUGCUGGAGAAAGAACACCUGAUCCUUCAUCUGAACUUUCUGCAGGAAUAGGGACAUCCAGUAGUAGUACUCCAGGGACCAGUGACACACAGGCCAGGAACACACAGCCUGCAUCAAGUGAAGGUGAAGGGACACCCAGGACCACAUCAAGCACUCAGCCACAGACUCUAUGAUUAAAACUGAGGCACAGUCUUUGGCUGAAGAGGUUGGAUCAUACCGCUUCUCCAUUUGUAGCGUUGUGUGGUAUGACAUGCUGGCCAAAAUUCAUCAUGUCAGCAAAGCAUUACAGUCCAUGUCUAUGCAACUGGAUGUGGCUCUGAAUCUCCUGAGGACAAGGGAAGCCUCUCUGGUCAGCUACAGAAGCAGUGGGUUUGUUUCUGCUCAGGUAUCUGCAAGAGAUCUCUGUGAGGAGAUGAAUGUGGACACUGUCCUAAAGCAGAAGAGGCUGAGAAAAAACAAAAGACAGUUCUCUUAUGAAUCCCCUGAUGAGCCAGAGGGAAAUGCGCUAAAGAAAUUGGAAAUUUCCUUUUUCUAUGUCAUUGUUGAUGUGUCAGUUACAUCACUGCAAGAACGCUUCAAGCUCUUGGGUGAUGUUGAGGACAAGUUUGGAGUGUUGGUGAACUUUCCUAAUUUGCCAGAGGAAGACCUUGCAAAGGAGUGCGAAACCCUCAGCAACACUCUGAGCCAUGGUGACCAUAAAGAUGUUGAUGGGAGGGAACUGUCACUUGAGUUGAAAAAUGUCCCAGUGUUGCCAAAAGCUGGCAUGACAACAAUGGAAAUUCUGAAUUACUUGAAGGAGAAGAAACUUGAAGAAGUUUUUCCUAAUAUGUGGGUGGCCCUAAGAAUUGCUGUCACACUACCGGUGACAGUAGCUUCUGCUGAAAGAAGCUUCUCUAAAUUAAAAUGACUUAAGACCUACCUGAGGUCAACGAUGAGUCAGGCACGCCUCAAUGGGCUUGCACUGAUGAGCAUCAACCAAGAGGUCUGAAGUAAAAUAUCAUUUGAUGUUACCAUCAACGAAUUUGCCAUUAGGAAGUCCAGACGAGUCAAAUUGUAAAGCUGCGUAAAUUUUGAAGGUGAAAGCCGAAAGGGACUUUUGUUUGUAGAGGGUAUAGUUUUGCACAGUUAUUGGAGUUUAUUACUUAAUUUAUGUAAAUAUCCUCGAACAUUCUUUGCAGCAUUUGUGUAUGAACAAUUUAUUACUGUUUAUCCUUAUGAUUUGCUUGUUAUAGUGUUGCAGUGACUAUUAAAGCAUUUUUGUUUGUU